rnacentral:rRNA from 1 species
CUAUAGUUGAGUUUGAUGAUAGCUCUGAAUGAACGCUGUCCAAAUGCUUAACACAUGCUAAUCGUACGACAUUUAAGUAAAAAUGUAGUGGUGAACAGGUGAGUACUUAUUAUAAUAAUCUUAUAGUAAGGGAAAAAAAUCCCUUAUAAAAAAGUAAUUAAAAAAAAAAAUUACAUAAUAAAAAGAAAAAGUAAUUUCGCUAAAAGGUAUUAUAAUAAACUGGAAGAGAAAAAGGAGGAAACUCUAGCUCAAAUUCCGGUAGUCGAGACUGAGAGGUCGAUCGACCACAGUGGGUCUGAAAAAACCCCAUGGCGCAUAGCACAGCAGUGAGGAAUUUUGGUCAAUGGCCUAACGGCUGAACCAGCAACUUGGAAGAAUGUAAAACGAUUAUAUCGUAUAAAAUUCUAAAUAAAAAUAGAUUAUGACAAAUUUUUAUUUAUAAGUCUUGUCUAAAUUACGUGCCAGCAGACGCGGUAAUACGUAGAAGACUAGUGUUAUUCAUCUUUAGUGGGUUUAAAGGGUACCUAGACAGAAAAUAAAGCCUAAAAAAGGGACUAAUUUUCUAGAGUUAUAUGAAAGGAAGUCGAGUAUUUGGAGUGCAAAGUUGAUAUUUAGUCAUACUUAUUAAACAAAUUAAACAAGGACUGGUAACGGCGAAGGCAGCUUCCUAUGUAAAAACUGACGUUGAGGGACGAAGCCCUAGGUAGCGAUAAGGAUUAGAGACCCUAAUAGUCUUGGGAGACAAUUAUGAAUGCCAUAGACUAGCAAAUUUAGUCUAUAAAUGAAAGUGAAAGCAUUCCACCUCAUGAGUAAAGCGGCAACGCUCAAAUUGAAAUCAUUAGACCGUAUCUGAAACCAGUAGUGAAGUAUGUUAUUUAAUUCGAUGAUCCGCGAAUAACCUUACCACAAUUUGAAUAUUUUACAAGUGCUGCACGGCUGUCUUUAGCUAAUGUCGUGAGAUUUGGUUAACUCCUUUAAUUAGCGCAAACCCUUUCUUUAUUUAUUUUUUAAUAUAAAGUAUUUUCUCGUAUACCGGGAAACUAAAAGGGAUCAAGACAAGUCAUCAUGGCCUUAAUAUUGUGGGCUAUAGACGUGCCACAUAUGCCUUUACAAAGGGAAGCAAAACUGCGAAGUUUAGCUAAUCCUUAAAAAAGGAUAUAACCUAUUGUGAAUUGUAGCCUGAAAUUCGACUACAUGAAUAAGAAAUUACUAGUAAUCGUGAAUCACCAUGUCACGGUGAAUUUGAUCUCAGAUGGGUACUAACUACUCGUCAGGCGCUGAAAGAGAUAUGUGCAAUAAGUUUGAAUACUUCUUCUCAUUUGUAUUUAUUAUUAGUUUUAUACUCCUGAUUUAGUAAUCUUCGUAUGCGUGAUCUUGAUUGGUGUUAAGUCGAAAUAUGGUUCGUGUAACGGAAGUUGCACGGGAUUCAUUAUUUUU